AGAGUUUGAUCCUGGCUCAGAUUGAACGCUGGCGGCAGGCCUAACACAUGCAAGUCGAACGGUAACAGGAAACAGCUUGCUGUUUCGCUGACGAGUGGCGGACGGGUGAGUAAUGUCUGGGAAACUGCCUGAUGGAGGGGGAUAACUACUGGAAACGGUAGCUAAUACCGCAUAACGUCGCAAGACCAAAGAGGGGGACCCUCGGGCCUCUUGCCAUCGGAUGUGCCCAGAUGGGAUUAGCUUGUUGGUGGGGUAACGGCUCACCAAGGCGACGAUCCCUAGCUGGUCUGAGAGGAUGACCAGCCACACUGGAACUGAGACACGGUCCAGACUCCUACGGGAGGCAGCAGUGGGGAAUAUUGCACAAUGGGCGCAAGCCUGAUGCAGCCAUGCCGCGUGUAUGAAGAAGGCCUUCGGGUUGUAAAGUACUUUCAGCGGGGAGGAAGGGAGUAAAGUUAAUACCUUUGCUCAUUGACGUUACCCGCAGAAGAAGCACCGGCUAACUCCGUGCCAGCAGCCGCGGUAAUACGGAGGGUGCAAGCGUUAAUCGGAAUUACUGGGCGUAAAGCGCACGCAGGCGGUUUGUUAAGUCAGAUGUGAAAUCCCCGGGCUCAACCUGGGAACUGCAUCUGAUACUGGCAAGCUUGAGUCUCGUAGAGGGGGGUAGAAUUCCAGGUGUAGCGGUGAAAUGCGUAGAGAUCUGGAGGAAUACCGGUGGCGAAGGCGGCCCCCUGGACGAAGACUGACGCUCAGGUGCGAAAGCGUGGGGAGCAAACAGGAUUAGAUACCCUGGUAGUCCACGCCGUAAACGAUGUCGACUUGGAGGUUGUGCCCUUGAGGCGUGGCUUCCGGAGCUAACGCGUUAAGUCGACCGCCUGGGGGAGUACGGCCGCAAGGUUAAAACUCAAAUGAAUUGACGGGGGCCCGCACAAGCGGUGGAAGCAUGUGGGUUUAAUUCGAUGCAACGCGAAGAACCUUACCUGGUCUUGACAUCCACGGAAGUUUUCAGAGAUGAGAAUGUGCCUUCGGGAACCGUGAGACAGGUGCUGCAUGGCUGUCGUCAGCUCGUGUUGUGAAAUGUUGGGUUAAGUCCCGCAACGAGCGCAACCCUUAUCCUUUGUUGCCAGCGGUCCGGCCGGGAACUCAAAGGAGACUGCCAGUGAUAAACUGGAGGAAGGUGGGGAUGACGUCAAGUCAUCAUGGCCCUUACGACCAGGGCUACACACGUGCUACAAUGGCGCAUACAAAGAGAAGCGACCUCGCGAGAGCAAGCGGACCUCAUAAAGUGCGUCGUAGUCCGGAUUGGAGUCUGCAACUCGACUCCAUGAAGUCGGAAUCGCUAGUAAUCGUGGAUCAGAAUGCCACGGUGAAUACGUUCCCGGGCCUUGCACACACCGCCCGUC
rnacentral:rRNA from 1 species